UUGCUGUGAUGAUACCUUCAAUUGUGGUUUCAACUUGCUGAGUGUUGAAUGAGGACAUUAAAUUCCUUGGCUGUGUCUGAGCAU
ensembl:snoRNA